UACGAAGGGGGCGAGCGUUGUUCGGAUUUACUGGGCGUAAAGGGCGCGCAGGCGGCCAUUCAAGUCAGGCGUGAAAGCCCCGGGCUUAACCUGGGAGGUGCGUCUGGGACUGGGUGGCUAGAGAUCGGGAGAGGAGAGUGGAAUUCCCAGUGUAGAGGUGAAAUUCGUAGAUAUUCGGAAGAACACCAGUGGCGAAGGCGACUCACUGGACACGUAUUGACGCUGAGGUGCGAAAGCGUGGGGAGCAAACAGG
rnacentral:rRNA from 1 species